UGCAAGUCGAACGAUGAAGCCUUUCGGGGUGGAUUAGUGGCGAACGGGUGAGUAACACGUGGGCAAUCUGCCCUUCACUCUGGGACAAGCCCUGGAAACGGGGUCUAAUACCGGAUAACACUCUGUCCCGCAUGGGACGGGGUUAAAAGCUCCGGCGGUGAAGGAUGAGCCCGCGGCCUAUCAGCUUGUUGGUGGGGUAAUGGCCUACCAAGGCGACGACGGGUAGCCGGCCUGAGAGGGCGACCGGCCACACUGGGACUGAGACACGGCCCAGACUCCUACGGGAGGCAGCAGUGGGGAAUAUUGCACAAUGGGCGAAAGCCUGAUGCAGCGACGCCGCGUGAGGGAUGACGGCCUUCGGGUUGUAAACCUCUUUCAGCAGGGAAGAAGCGAAAGUGACGGUACCUGCAGAAGAAGCGCCGGCUAACUACGUGCCAGCAGCCGCGGUAAUACGUAGGGCGCAAGCGUUGUCCGGAAUUAUUGGGCGUAAAGAGCUCGUAGGCGGCUUGUCACGUCGGAUGUGAAAGCCCGGGGCUUAACCCCGGGUCUGCAUUCGAUACGGGCUAGCUAGAGUGUGGUAGGGGAGAUCGGAAUUCCUGGUGUAGCGGUGAAAUGCGCAGAUAUCAGGAGGAACACCGGUGGCGAAGGCGGAUCUCUGGGCCAUUACUGACGCUGAGGAGCGAAAGCGUGGGGAGCGAACAGGAUUAGAUACCCUGGUAGUCCACGCCGU
rnacentral:rRNA from 3 species